rnacentral:rRNA from 1 species
AGUGAACGCUGGCGGUAGGCCUAACACAUGCAAGUCGAACGGCAGCACAGUAAGAGCUUGCUCUUACGGGUGGCGAGUGGCGGACGGGUGAGGCAUACAUCGGAAUCUACUUUUUCGUGGGGGAUAACGUAGGGAAACCUACGCUAAUACCGCAUACGACCUACGGGUGAAAGCAGGAGAUCUUCGGACCUUGCGCGAUUGAAUGAGCCGAUGUCGGAUUAGCUAGUUGGCGGGGUAAAGGCCCACCAAGGCGACGAUCCGUAGCUGGUCUGAGAGGAUGAUCAGCCACACUGGAACUGAGACACGGUCCAGACUCCUACGGGAGGCAGCAGUGGGGAAUAUUGGACAAUGGGCGCAAGCCUGAUCCAGCCAUACCGCGUGGGUGAAGAAGGCCUUCGGGUUGUAAAGCCCUUUUGUUGGGAAAGAAAAGCAGCAGGUUAAUACCCCGCUGUUCUGACGGUACCCAAAGAAUAAGCACCGGCUAACUUCGUG